AUUGAACGCUGGCGGCAUGCUUUACACAUGCAAGUCGAACGGCAGCGCGGGGUAACCUGGCGGCGAGUGGCGAACGGGUGAGUAAUAUAUCGGAACGUACCUUUCAGUGGGGGAUAACGUAGCGAAAGUUACGCUAAUACCGCAUAUUCUGUGAGCAGGAAAGCAGGGGACCUUCGGGCCUUGCGCUGAUUGAGCGGCCGAUAUCAGAUUAGCUAGUUGGUGAGGUAAAGGCUCACCAAGGCUACGAUCUGUAGCGGGUCUGAGAGGAUGAUCCGCCACACUGGAACUGAGACACGGUCCAGACUCCUACGGGAGGCAGCAGUGGGGAAUUUUGGACAAUGGGGGCAACCCUGAUCCAGCCAUGCCGCGUGAGUGAAGAAGGCCUUCGGGUUGUAAAGCUCUUUCGGCCGGGAAAAAAUCGCAUCAGCUAAUACCUGGUGUGGAUGAUGGUACCGGAAUAAGAAGCACCGGCUAACUACGUGCCAGCCGCCGCGGUAAUAC
rnacentral:rRNA from 1 species